GAUGAACGCUGGCGGUAUGCUUAACACAUGCAAGUCGAACGGACUCUUCGGAGUUAGUGGCGGACGGGUGAGUAACGCGUGAGAAUCUGGCUUUGGGUUCGGGACAACCACUGGAAACGGUGGCUAAUACCGGAUGUGCCGAGAGGUAAAAGAGAAAUUGCCUGAAGAUGAGCUCGCGUCUGAUUAGCUAGUUGGUGAGGUAAAGGCUCACCAAGGCAGCGAUCAGUAGCUGGUCUGAGAGGAUGACCAGCCGCACUGGGACUGAGACACGGCCCAGACUCCUACGGGAGGCAGCAGUGGGGAAUUGUCCGCAAUGGGCGAAAGCCUGACGGAGCAAUACCGCGUGAGGGAAGAAGGCUCUUGGGUUGUAAACCUCUUUUCUUAGGGAAGAACAAAAUGACGGUACCUAAGGAAUCAGCAUCGGCUAACUCCGUG
rnacentral:rRNA from 1 species